GUGAGGUUUGGUUCCAGCACACUUUGUAAACUCCCUGGGCUGUGACAAUAUUAAGAGACUAGUGAUGAAAUCAGUAAUUUUCCAGCAACUUACCUUGGUUUCCUGUCCUCUUUAUAGUCCUAAUCUCCAUCCAUGGAGCACUGCAAGUCGAAGGAGCAGAACACCCAGCAACAUCAUCUGAGAAAUGAAUGGAUAUGCUGGAGCAGGGGUCGAGGAUUCACCACAUCCAGCUCAAGACAACAGCGGAGGAAAGGGGACUUUGGACCACCCAUCCUAACCCAGGGGAAACUCUGAAGACCCAACUCAUCUUCCAUUGGCAACCAGGGAUUCAGAAUGGAGCCACUUUGGCUGAAUCCAUGAAUGUGGAAGCUUUGGACGUGGAAACCUAACUAUAAUCGCAAUACUGUUGUUUAGUGGCGUAGUCCUGUCUGACUCUUUGCAACCUGGUGGACUGUAGCCCGCCAGGCUCCUCUGUCCAUGGGGAUUCUCCAGGCAAGAACACUGGAGUGAGUUUCCAUGCCUUCCUCCAGGGGAUCUUCCUGACCCAGGGAUCAAACCUGCAUCCAUGUGGAAGCUGGAGCUGAAAUACCAGUCCCAUCCCCCAGCCAAAGUGAAAUGAAUUAGGCCGCUUUUAUCUGCUGGUCUGUGCCCAGCACUGGCUCCACCUUGCAUCUGGACAGUGUCCAUCUUCCCGCUGGCCAGAGCAGGAGAAUUCUUCCAGCUUAUAAGGAUCAAGACAGCCUAGGGUAGGACAUUAAAUUUCCAGACUGAGGCCUGUGAAAUCUGCCCUGCAGACCAUUCUCUAAAUAGAACCAUUUCAUUGGCAGGAAGCAAGAGAGCAGCCAGGGUUUAUUGGCUGGAAGCCUCUUGGUGAUGCCAAAGGUCCCAACCUUCAGAGGAGUUCCUGACAGUGUCCUAAGAGUCCACUUCUGCCAACUCUGAAAUUUGGGACUUGGAAGGGGUCCCCAAGGUCAUCUGCCUCCUCAUUCCUUCUCCAACCUGCCUCAGAGGAACAUUAGUUAUUUAGUGUUAGCCGCUCAGUAGUGUCCCAGUCUUGGUGACCCCAUGGACCGUAGCUGGCCAGGUUCCUUGUCCAUGGAAUUCUCCAGGCAAGAAUACUGGAGUGGGUAGCCAUUUCCUCCCCCAGGGGGUCUUCCUGAUCCAGAGAUAGAACCCAGGUCUCCUGCAUUGAAGGCAGAUUCUUUACCGUCUGAGCCACCAGGGAUGUCAGAGGACUGAGUGUCUCUUAUUUCCCUUGAUCUUCUGAGAAGAUGUUCUAAACUUCUCUCCUAAUCCAUUUUUGGCCUUUCCAUUAGGCAAUUCUUUUUCAUGUCAAACUGGUUUUUAGCACUCAUGUGAUUUUAAAGCAUGUGGUUACAUUCAUGCAGCCUAUCAGAGACAAGAUCAGGGAAACUUCCAGGAAGAUACAUUUCCUCCUGCCCCAUUUAGCAGGGCUAUUCUGGUCUGGGAGUUGGGGGAGGCGAGGAUUCUAUCAUUGAACCACCAAUGUCUUAAAGGCUAUUCUAGUCUGAGCUGGUAAUUGCAAAACAAUGAACUCUGAAAGUAAAUAGCCAGAGUCCUCAUUUGAUGGAGAUGUUUUUUCCUUUAAAGUUACUCCCAAAACCACUACAAUACUGUAAAGUAAUUAGCCUCCAAUUAAAAUAAAUAAAUUGAUUUAAAAAGUUACUCCUAAGGGUUUCCCUGGUGGCUCAGAUGGUAAAGAAUUUGCCUGCAAUGCAGGAAACCUGGGUUUGAUCCCUGGAUUAGGAAGAUGCCUGGAAGAAGGCAUGGUAACCCAUUUCCGUAUUCUUGCCUAGAGAAUUCCAUGGACGGAGGAGCCUGGUGGGCUCUAGUCCAUGGGGUCGCAAAGAGCUGGACUUGGCUGAAGUGACUUAGCACACACACACGCAUGACCAAGCAGGGGAUUCCCCAGUGGCUCACGGGUAAAAAUUCACCUGCAAUGCAGGGGACAGAGGAGAUGUGCGUUCGAUUCCUGGGUGGGGAAGAUGCCCUGGAGAAGGAAAUGACAACCCACUCCAGUAUUCUUGCCCGGAGAAUCCCAUUGACAGAGGAGCCUGGCAGGCUAUAAUCCAAAGGUCUCAAAGAAUUGGACAUGACUGAGCGACUGAGCAUGCACAUAAUGCCCAAGCUUUCCUCCCAAGCAUAAUGACCAGUCAAGUGAGACUUGGCUCCACACCCCGUGGGUCUGAGCCUUUUUCCCAUCACAAUAGGAUUAGAACGUGCUUAACUUCUGUUACCACUAUUGGGACCAGAUUUGCUUUCUCACCACUGAAUCCCUUUUAAGAAUGGCCAAGGGCCUGUGGGAUUUAUCAUUUAUCACUUCUUUCAAGGGUUUUGACUCUGAUCUGGGGAUAAUUCGGUGUGUUUGAAAGAGGAAUAAGCUUUUUGUCUAAUCCAGGGAACAAAGUACAGAAUCCAGCAGCCGGAAGUCCAGGGUUUAUUUUUCUUAGGCAAACCCGUGAAUUUAUCAUCACUUCAAGGGAGAAACAAAGACGGGGAUUCAGGAAGCUGGUCCCAGCUGUCAGCCACUCAUUUUUAGGAAUUAAAACAGAAGAACAAACGACCACCAGGCUGAUGAAGUCCUGGUGAGCCUGAUCCUGUCCCAGCAGACAAGAGGAGACAGGCAUCCCUCAUCGUGGGCUUGGGUUGUGAGAACCUUCCUGCCCGGGUCCCAGCUCCCAGGCCCAAGGCCUGGACUGGACCUUCUACCUUAAUGAGCUGCUGAUGUGCUGCAAGGACUUAAUGUAGCACCAGAAAGGGAGGACAGGCUGUCAGACCUCUGAUUACCCUUCUGAGGAGGUUUAAGAGCUUAAGACGAAUCAAUGAAAAAUAUGUGCAUUUCAGCUCCACUCAGAAGCUGCAUGGAUUUACCCCCAGACAAAAAACUACGGACUUUUCUUGAACUUUAACGGGUAGAUGGCAGUAUCUGAAGUUGAGCUCUAGCCAGGAUGAUAUUUUAUUAUUUCUAUGAUUACUGAUUUUCAUAAAUGUAAUUCCCCCAUAUGUUUCUGGCUUAUGCUAAUGACAUAAUGUGCCAAAGUGCUAUGCAUUUUAACCCAUUGUUUCAAAUGCUGCUGCUGCUGCUGCUAAGUCACUUCAGUCAUGUCCGACUCUGCAACCCCAAUAGACGGCGGCCCCCCAGGCUCCUCUGUCCCAGGUAUUCUCCAGGCAAGAACACUGGAGUGGGUUGCCAUUGUCUUCUCUGAUUGUUGGUUUAAUAUUAUUGGUUUAAAAUACCUAUUCUAGGGCUUCCCAGGUGGCGCAGUGUUAAAGAAUCCACCUGUCAAUGCAGGAGACACAAGAGACAUGGGUUCAAUCCCUGGGAAGAUCCCAUGGAGGGAGGAAAUGACAACCCACUCCAGUAUUCUUGCCUGCAGUAUCCCAUGGACAGAGGAGCCUGGCAGGCUACAGUUCAUGGGGUCUCAAAAGAGUCAGAUAUGACUGAAGCAACUAAACACACGCUCAUAUAUAGAGCAACCCCUGAAGAAGUUAUUAACUUGGCAGCUUCCAGUUUGGACAGGCAGGGAAAAUCCUUAAGAAUCUUUGAGUCUAUCAAGGAAGCUUCUCGGAGUGCCGUUGCACUGCACACCUCAGGGACACCAUGCGGACAGAAGGAAGUGAAGUUGUGCAACAUGGUGGCCUUGGCCUCCCAGUAUGUGUGGGACUUCAAAAGCCGCUUGAGCAAUGGAAGAGAGAGAGGAAAAAAAGAUGGAAAGCAAGUGAGAUCAUCUGGAGUAUGUAUACUCGUGCAGGUAACUCACAAAUGAAUGAGGGAAGCUUGUCUGUUGAUAAAGGAGAAAGUACCUCCUCUCAACUCACUUUGGUCAGAACUUUUGCAGAGUUCCAGGACCAGAUUUCUGGGAAACAAUUUCAGUCUGCAACUAGGACCGAAGAGGAGAAGGUAAAGAAACGGGAACUGCUUUCCUUGGAGUAACAGAGGCCAAAAGUAUGACUCAACAACGUGAUCAAACCCAGGAAAGGUCAUUUUCCAGACUCUGGUGACCAGCUGUCCUUUAACUCCCAUGGCUACAAAACAAGUUUUUAACUCGUGGCAAUUUGUGACUCAUUUUAGAAAGCUGUUCUGCCUGGUUGACCCCAUACCAGUGUAUUUAUACCCAAGUGAGCUCCUUAAAAGGAUUGGAGGAGGCCGCAUUUGAACUUUUUCAACAAGCAAGCAGCUAAAGAACACUGAAUCCAGACCACUAGGUUGCUGAGGUUUGUUGAAGAGGAAGGAGCUUUGGUCGCAUAAUUCAUUUCUAGGAAAGUAUCCUGAGGAAAGGGCUUACCCAGUGGCUCAGCAGGUAAAGAAUCUGCCUGUAACUCAGGAGACCCAGGAAACACAAGUUCGAUCCCUGGAAGAUCCCCUGGAAGAGAAAAUGGCAACCCCUUCCAGUAUUCUAGUCUGGGAAAUCCCAGGGAUAGAAGAGCCUGGCAGGCUACAUACAGUGCAUGGGGUCACAAAGAGUCACACACAACCGAGCACAAGCACAGAUGGAUCCUGAGGAAAUCAUUAGACCAUUGCCAUCUAUGAAAGAAAACCAAGCUAUCCAGCGACUAGACUGGCACCAAUUUCACAAUAGAUUGGUGACAUGGUAAAAUAAUGGAACGGGAAAGACCAGAGAUCUCUUCAGGAAAAUUAGAGAUACCAAGGGAACGUUUCAAGCAAAGAUGGGCUCAAUGAAGGACAGAAAUGGUAGGAACCAACAGAAGCAGAAGAUAUUAAGAAGAGGUGGCAAGAAUACACAGAAGAACUAUACAAAAAAGAUAUUCACGACUCAGAUAAUUACAAUGGUGUGAUCACUCACCUAGAGCCAGACAUCAUGGAGGGUGAAGUCAAGUGGGCCUUAGGAAGCAUCACUACAAACAAAGCUAGUGGAGGUGAUGGAAUCCCAGUUGAGCUAUUUCAAAUCCUGAAAGAUGAUGCUGUGAAAGUGCUGCACUCAAUAUGCCAGCAAAUUUGGAAAACUCAGCAGUGGCCACAGGACUGGAAAAGGGCAGUUUUCAUUCCAAUCCCAAAGAAAGGCAAUGCCAAAGAAUGCUCAAGCUACCGCACAAUGGCACUCAUCUCACAUGCUAGUAAAGUAAUGCUCAAAGUUCUCCAAGCCAGGCUUCAGCAAUAUGUGAACUGGAACUUCCAGAUGUUCAAGCUGGUUUUAGAAAAGGCAGAGGAACCAGAGAUCAAAUUGCCAACAUCCACUGGAUCAUGGAAAAGCAAGAGAGUUCCAGAGAAACAUCUAUUUCUGCUUUAUUGACUAUGCCAAAGCCUUUGACUGUGUGGAUCACAAGAAACUGUGGACAAUUCUGAAAGAGAUGGGAUACCAGAUCACCUGAACUGCCUCUUAAGAAACCUGUAGGCAGGUCAGGAAGCAAGAGUUAGAACUGGACAUGGGACAACAGACUGGUUCCAAAUAGGAAAAGGAGUAUGUCAAGGCUGUAUAUUGUCACCCUGCUUAUUUAACUUAUAUGCAGAGUACAUCAUGAAAAACGCUGGGCUGGAAGAAACACAAGCUGGAAUCAAAAUUGCCAGGAGAAAUAUCAAUAACCUCAGAUAUGCAGAUGACACCACCCUUAUGGCAGAAAGUGAGAAGAACUAAAGUGCUUCUUGAUGAAAGUGAAAGAGGAAAGUAAAAAAGUUGGCUUAAAGCUCAACAUUCAGAAAACUAAGAUCAUGGCAUCUGGUCCCAUCACUUCAUGGUGAAUAGAUGGGGAAACAGUGGAACCAGUGGCUGACUUUAGUUUGAGGGGCUCUAAAAUCACUGCAGAUAGUGACUGCAGCCAUGAAAUUAAAAGACACUUACUCCUUGGAAGGAAAGUUAUGACCAACCUAGAUAGUAUAUUCAACAACAGAGACAUUACUUUGCCGACUAAAGUCCGUCUAGUCAAGGCUAUGGUUUUUCCAGUGGUCAUGUAUGGAUGUGAGAGUUGGACUGUAAAGAAAGCUAAUUGCCAAAGAAUUGAUGCUCUUUAACUGUGGUGUUGGAGAAGAUGCUCGAGAGUCCUUUUGAACUGCAAAGAGAUCCAACCGAUCAGUCCCAGGUAUUCACUGGAAGGACUGAUGUUGAAGCUGAAACUCCAAUAUUUUGGCUACCUGAUGCAAAGAGCUGACUCAUUUGAAAAGACCCUGAUGCUGGGAAUGAUUGAGGGCAGGAGGAGAAGGGGAUGACAGAGGAUGAGAUGGUUGGAUGGCAUCACCGACUCAAUGGACAUGAGUCUGUGUGGACUCUGGGAGUUGGUGAUGGACAGGGAGGCCUAGAGUGCUGCAGUCCAUGGGGUUGCAAAGAGUCAGACACUGAACUGACUCAGCGACUGAACUGAACUGAACUGAAAUAUGGUAAUCCAUAAGGAGCAAUACUGCACAGCCUCUUCAAACUGAGUUACUGAGAAAUGUUUAUAGUUAGGUUGCAAUGAUUAAAAGAAUGUAUGCUAUGAAACAGUAUAUGUUGUAUGCUGUCAUAAAAUAUUUUACAUAUACUUGCAAAAUGGCAUCGAUGCAUAGAUUGAAGUCACACGGAAAGUCAUAACGUCAUCAGCAAACUCUAGGCUUCUGUGGAUUGCAGGUGAUCAGAUGUCCUCUGUGUGCUGUUAGGUGUGUGGCAGAGGCCAAGCUCUGGUUAGUCACACUAUGUCAUUUUAUUCAUAAGUAUAUUAACAAGCAGAGACAUCACUUUGACAACAAAAGUCUGCAUAGUCAAAGUUAUGAUUUUUCCAGCAGUCAUGUACAGAUGUGAUUAUAAAGAAGACCAUGAAGAUGUUGGACCACAGAGAAGGCUGAGUGUCAAAGAGUUGCUGCUUCUGGACUGUGGUGCUGGAGAAAACGCUUGAGAGUCCCUAGGACUGCAAGGAGAUCAAAGCCGGCAGUUCUAAAGGAAAUCAGCCCUGAAUAUUCAUCAGAAGGACUGAUGCUGAACCUUAAGCUCCAAUACUUUGGCCACCUGAUAUGAGGAGCUGAUUCAUUGGAAAAGACCCUGAUGCUGGGAAAGACUGAGGGCAGAAGGAAAAAGGGACAACAGAGGAUGAGAUGGUUAGAUAGCAUCACCGACUCAAUGGAUAUGAGCUUCAGCAAACUCUGGGAGAUAGUGAAGGACAGGGAAGCCUGGGGUGCUGUGAGUCCAUGGGGUCACAAAGAGUUGGACAUGACUUAGCGACUGAACAGCAACGGCAACACAAGAAAAUGACAUUUCCCAGCCUCCUUGCUUAUAGGUUAGCCGUGAGAUGAACUCUGGCCAAUGGAAUGUAGGAAAAAUGAUGUACUUGUACACCUGGCUUUAGAAAACCCCGCCCCAUCCAACCCAGCUUAUUGACUGGUCAAUUGUGGGACCCUAAAUGGGAAACCUUAAAAAAGAUGGGUUAGCUUUGAGGUGGGAAACUAAGAUGGUGCCUGGCGGAAGAGAUGGGGCAUGGUCUAUAUUAAAGUUUUUGAUUGGCUCUCUUGAUUUCCGUGCCCAUGGACAGUGCAUGAUCACCAUAGACUCCUGUUAUAAUGAAGGCGCAUGACGAUUUGACCUUUAAUGUGAUUGGUGCAACUAUGGCAUAUUAUGAUUUGACCUUUAAUGUGAUUGGUGCAACUAUGGCACAUGACGAUUUGCCCUUUAACGUGAUUGGUGCAACUAUAGAAAGUCCCUCGCAAACCCCCCUUGCUUGCCUAUAUAAACCAAAAGCUUGCGGCAAUAAAGUGGAACUGCUUAGACGGAAUCCCUGUAGCGUUUGAUUUUCUCUCGCUUGCCUAGGGGCUGGGUUGGCGGACUGCAGGCUCACCUCUCCUUGGCACCGCUCAGCUUUGCUGAGGGAAGUUCCACUGCCUCUCUCUUUCUACGGAGUGCCCCCCGCAGUCAAUGAUGCAAAAGAUCCAUCUAAAUACUUGGGAGCCUUGGGAACAGCAUCAUAGUAAGAUGGGAGCAUCCUGGAUCCCUGAGUCACUGCUUGAAGGGGAGUCACCAAAGAAAGCCAUCCACCUGGGAAUGUCUUUGUUCAACUUGGUGUGGAUGAGAAAUACAGUUUUACUCUGUUAAUCCACUGUGAUUUUGAGGUUGUUACAGGGGCUGAUGACUUAACACAUGUGUUUUCACCUUUCUAUAUUAAAUAUGUAUGUCUUUUGAAAUUAGCCAAGAUGCUAUUAAAAGAAUAUAACUACCCACCCCUCUCUUUGUGCAUGACACCUACUGCUUUAAAGCAUUCAGGAAAAUCUGCAUCCCUUUUUUUUCCCCAGUAUUGGCUGUGCUGGGUCUUUGUUGGGGCAUGUAGGCUUUUCAUUGUGGUGCCUGGGGGGCUUUUCUAGUUACAGUGUACGGGCUUCUCCAGCUGUGGAGCACA
ensembl:lncRNA